AAGUCGUAACAAGGUUUCCGUAGGUGAACCUGCGGAAGGAUCAUCAAUAGUUCCAAAAAAUACCUUCUUGAGCACUGUUAUUAAUGUAUGAGGGCAUGGGUGAUGGUAUAUAUUAUCGUGAGAUAUAUAUGUAUGCCCACCCAUGUCUUUAGUUAUCAUAAACUCUUAAAAAUUAAUUGUCUGAAUAUAUUAUUGUGCUUUAUAUGUAUAUAUAUAUAUAAUUACACUAUAAAAUAUAAAUUGCAAUACAACUUGCAGCGAUGGAUCUCUAGGCUCUGGUGUCGAUGAAGAACGCC
rnacentral:misc_RNA from 1 species